GCCGGAGUGGUGGAAUUGGUAGACACGCAGCCUUGAGGUGGCUGUGAGAGAAAUCUCUUGGGGGUUCGAGUCCCUUCUUCGGUA
rnacentral:tRNA from 1 species